GUGUUCCCUCUUUCUACCAAAGAGCUGCUGCAUUACCUGGAUAGAGAAAAAUAAAUGGAUGGAAGAGCAUCAUCUCACUGUAUAGACAGCACAAUCAGCGGGUGUAUUCUGCUUAGGAGUUCAGUGUGAUGAUAGUUGGAACCAAUGUCUAAGUAGCCAAAUUAAACAUGGGGAGAACGUGAAUCACCUGAAACUGAGUUACUGAUAUCAACAGCUAGUCUACUGUUUAGAAUGGACAACAUUUACAACUUUAUACUGACCAAUGAACCUAUUUUAGUGUUAAUCAAUAAUAGUUUCCACACCUAUAGGAGAAAGAUGACAUCACUGUGACCUUGUUUCACAGACUACAUCUUAGCUUCCACCACUGCAAGGAUUCAUUUACUGUUCAACCAGCUCACUAUGAUGUGUUCUUUUCUACUGAAAGGAACUAUUACCUAUUAUAACUACACAGAACCAGACCUAAAAAAAACCCAAGUCACCUUUUAAAAUAUUUCAGACUCAUAAUUCAGCUGUUCCCUUAUAACACAGAAAAAUGUGAAAAUGUAUCUUUUUUAAAAAUCAGACCAAGAUAUUAUCGUUAACGAAAACUAACGAAAUAACGAAAAAUAGAAGUAAAAAACCAUUUUCGUUCAUAAUAAAAACGAGACAUUGCAAAUAAAGGAAAACUCACUGAAACUGUAAUGAGUGUUCACAAAACUAACUAAAAUUAACUGAAUUUAUAGAGAUAAUGUGAUUAGUUUUCGUUUGUGUGCCUCAUGCAUCAUGAAGUCUAGAUCCGGUUGUUGUUGUUUUUGUUCUCGCUGUGCCGCAUUCCGCCAGCAGAUGGCGUGUACGUCAAGUCAUCUGUGCGUCGAAAACGCCAGGGAGUAUGUUGCGUUCAACAACGGUAGCUGGUCACGCGGCUAUUAACGUUACAGAGUAGUUGAAGAAGAGCUAAGCACGCUGCCUUGGACUGGAUUGACCCUGGCCGUGAUGAAAUUUGGUUUGCGGUAGGAAACGUUACUAGUGUUGUCAACAUUCACUGUGCCAGGUAAAAGAAUUGGCUUGGAUGUGUUUCGUUUUAAAGAGACAUGAGAGCAGAGAGGAAGAGAAAGAGAUUACUAUAUAAAGUGAUGGCAUUCUGCAAGUCCCCAAGGGAAGAAAGCAAGAUGACUCUGGGAGCCGUGGGGGAAGCCUAAUGUCGAGUGAACUCUGCCGCACGGCCUCCCUUAGCCUGGAUGGCUAAGGGAGGCCGUGCGGCAGAGUCCCUGUGUAUAGAUUUGCAUCAGGCCGGUGGAUUAUUGUCUUCCUCGACGCCGGGUGACUCUCACAGGAUCCAGAGAGUCACCAAGAAGUCAACUCCGAGAACGACCUGAGGCCUGGAGACCUGGUCCUGAUUAAGACACUCCACAGGAAGGAUUG